rnacentral:rRNA from 1 species
CACACCGCCCGUCACACCAUGGGAGCCAGUUGCUCUAGAAGUCGGUGCGCCAACCUAGUGAGGUAGCCGCCUAAAGAGUGACUGGUAACUGGGGUG